rnacentral:rRNA from 1 species
CACGUAGGGGGCAAGCGUUGUCCGGAUUUACUGGGCGUACAGGGAGCGUAGGCGGUUGGAUAAGCCCUCCGUGAAAUCUCCAGGCUUAACCUGGAAAGUGCAGAGGGGACUGUUCAGCUAGAGGAUGGGAGAGGAGCGCGGAAUUCCCGGUGUAGCGGUGAAAUGCGUAGAGAUCGGGAGGAAGGCCGGUGGCGAAGGCGGCCUGCUGGGCUAUGGCUGACACUGAGGCGCGACAGCGUGGGGAGCAAACAGG